rnacentral:rRNA from 1 species
ACAGUGGACGCGAGCAUCUUUGUUGUAAGUAAUGAAGAGCGUACGGUGGAUGCCUUGGCACCAGGAGCCGAUGAAGGACGUAGGAGGCUGCGAUAAGCCUCGGGGAGCUGUCAACCGAGCUGUGAUCCGAGGAUGUCCGAAUGGGGAAACCCAGCACGAGUGAUGUCGUGUUACCCGCGCCUGAAUAUAUAGGGCGUGUGGAGGGAACGUGGGGAAGUGAAACAUCUCAGUACCCACAGGAAGAGAAAACAACCGUGAUUCCGUGAGUAGUGGCGAGCGAAAGCGGAAGAGGCUAAACCAUGGGUGUGUGAUAGCCGGCAGGUGUUGCAUUCGUGGGGUUGUGGGGUUCAUUUUGUCAAUACUGCCGUGUUGGCCAACAGUAAGAAAUCACAGGGUUAGUGGAAGUGGUCUGGAACGGCCUGUCGUAGAGGGUGAGAAUCCCGUACACGAAAACUUUGUGACUGUUGUAAUGGAAACCCAAGUAGCACCGGGCCCGUGAAAUCUGGUGUGAAUCUGUCGGGACCACCCGAUAAGCCUGAAUACUCCCUGGUGACCGAUAGCGGACUAGUACCGUGAGGGAAAGGUGAAAAGUACCCCGGGAGGGGAGUGAAAUAGUACCUGAAACCGUGCGCUUACAAUCCGUCAGAGCCUUCGAGCAGUUUACUGCUGGGGGUGAUGGCGUGCCUUUUGAAGAAUGAGCCUGCGAGUUAGUGGCAUGUCGCGAGGUUAACCCGUGUGGGGUAGCCGUAGCGAAAGCGAGUCCGAAUAGGGCGAGUCAGUGGCAUGCUCUAGACCCGAAGCGGAGUGAUCUACCCAUGGCCAGGUUGAAGCGACGGUAAGACGUCGUGGAGGACCGAACCCACUUAGGUUGAAAACUGAGGGGAUGAGUUGUGGGUAGGGGUGAAAGGCCAAUCAAACUCCGUGAUAGCUGGUUCUCCCCGAAAUGCAUUUAGGUGCAGCGUCGCGUGUUUCUCACCGGAGGUAGAGCUACUGGAUGGUCUAGGGGGCCCACAAGCUUACCGAAAUCAGCCAAACUCCGAAUGCCGGUGAGUGAGAGCGCGGCAGUGAGACUGCGGGCGAUAAGGUUCGUAGUCGAGAGGGAAACAGCCCAGAUCGCCAGCUAAGGUCCCUAAGCGUGUACUAAGUGGAAAAGGAUGUGGGGUCGCGAAGACAACCAGGAGGUUGGCUUAGAAGCAGCCACCCUUGAAAGAGUGCGUAAUAGCUCACUGGUCAAGUGAUCCUGCGCCGACAAUGUAGCGGGGCUCAAGUACACCACCGAAGCUGCGGCAUUCACGCAAUAGCCCCCAGUUGAUCCACGGAUUUUCUGGCAGGUGUGUGGAUGGGUAGGGGAGCGUCGU